UACGUAGGGCGCAAGCGUUAUCCGGAAUUAUUGGGCGUAAAGAGCUCGUAGGCGGUUUGUCGCGUCUGCCGUGAAAGUCCGGGGCUCAACUCCGGAUCUGCGGUGGGUACGGGCAGACUAGAGUGAUGUAGGGGAGACUGGAAUUCCUGGUGUAGCGGUGAAAUGCGCAGAUAUCAGGAGGAACACCGGUGGCGAAGGCGGGUCUCUGGGACGGUACUGACGCUGAGACGCGAAAGCGUGGGGAGCGAACGG
rnacentral:rRNA from 1 species